rnacentral:rRNA from 1 species
UACGUAGGGAGCAAGCGUUGUCCGGAAUCAUUUGGCGUAAAGCGCGCGUAGGUGGCCUCAUAAGUCCGCUGUGAAAGUCAAAGGCUCAACCUUUGAAAGCCGGUGGAUACUGUGAGGCUAGAGUACGGAAGAGGCGAGUGGAAUUCCUGGUGUAGCGGUGGAAUGCGCAGAUAUCAGGAGGAACACCGGUGGCGAAGGCGGGACUCUGGGCCGAUACUGACGCUGAGGAGCGAAAGCGUGGGGAGCAAACAGG